UCUCGUGAAGUGCCGUGAAGCUCGUAG
rnacentral:sRNA from 1 species